UGCAGAUCACUCAGAGGAGUACCCGAGCUGUUCCUAAGGUUCCAACUUCUCAAUCUCCCACCAUGAAUUCUGAGAAUGCGUCACCUAUGACACCUGCUAAAGGUCCUGCAGAUGCAUCUAAGGCAUUCCCAUUUCAGUUCGGGUCUAUAAGUCCUGGUUUCAUGAAUGGGAUGCAGAUUCCUGCUCGAACAAGCUCAGCUCCUCCAAAUUUGGAUGAGCAGAAACGUGACCAGGCACGCCACGAUACAUUUAGAUCUGUGCCUCCAUUGCCAACUCCUGCUCCUAAGCAACAAUUACCAAGGAAGGAUUUAGAUGUUGUCGACAAUUCUAGUGCUGGGGAGCCUCAUCCAAUGGCCAAAGCCAAGAAGGAUGUCCAAGUCUCAACUACACUGCCCAUGAGCCAGACACAAAAGCCGUCUGUUCUUCCCCGACCUAUGUCUUCCAUGCAAAUGCCAUUUCACCAACCACCAGUGUCUGCACAGUUUGGUGGCCCAAAUCCACAGAUUCAGUCACAAGGUGUUACGCCAACUUCACUUCAAAUGCAUAUGCCAAUGGCGGCAUUACCAAUGGGAAAUGCCCCCCAAGUGCAACAGCCAAUGUUUGUUCAAGG
rnacentral:misc_RNA from 1 species